rnacentral:rRNA from 1 species
AACGAACGCUGGCGGCAUGCCUAACACAUGCAAGUCGAACGAGACCUUCGGGUCUAGUGGCGCACGGGUGCGUAACGCGUGGGAAUCUGCCCUUGGGUUCGGGAUAACAGUUGGAAACGACUGCUAAUACCGGAUGAUGUCUUCGGACCAAAGAUUUAUCGCCCAGGGAUGAGCCCGCGUCGGAUUAGCUAGUUGGUGAGGUAAAGGCUCACCAAGGCGACGAUCCGUAGCUGGUCUGAGAGGAUGACCAGCCACACUGGGACUGAGACACGGCCCAGACUCCUACGGGAGGCAGCAGUGGGGAAUAUUGGACAAUGGGCGAAAGCCUGAUCCAGCAAUGCCGCGUGAGUGAUAAAGGCCUUAGGGUUGUAAAGCUCUUUUACCCGGGAUGAUAAUGACAGUACCGGGAGAAUAAGCCCCGGCUAACUCCGUGCCAGCCGCCGCCGUAACAC